GUAUACAAUUCUUGUAAUGUAGGAAGACCCAUCAACGCCAGUUGGCUGCACUUCAGCAGUUAUUCUACUAGAUGUACAUGUACAUGCAUGUAUUUACUUAGUUUUUUUUUACUUUUUACUGUCUAGCACUGAUUUCGACAAGUUAGUGAAGAAGUUGCAAGCUCAAGUGAAGGAUCUUAAUCGAAGGAUUGAUGAAGAAACAUGCCAUAAAGAUGAACAGCAUCAACUGGCAGCUAAAGCAGAGAAAUCUGCCAACGCCCUCACUGUUGAGUUGAAGAUCUACGUAGCAGCACUGAACAAUUGCAACGUCAGUUCAAAUUGGCAGAUGCUGAGAGGGUGGAAUUACAGGAUUGUUUGAGUGAGUUCCAAUCAUCAAUGGUGAGUCUCCAAACUAGCUAGAGGAAAGCCAAGCAGCAGCUGUCUUUUCUACAGGAGGAGCACGAGGAACUGGAGACUGAGAGUCAUGAGAAUGCGAGAAACUCUGCAAGGCAAUGGAACAAGUUUCCCAUCUCGAUGACUACUAAACUUGAAGAGGAAAUGUCUAUGGCUGUUAAAGCAGCUAAGAGAGGGGCAGCAGAGGGUUACUGACUUAGAAAUGGAGUUGGAGACUGAAACCAAAAGCAGGAGUGACGCCCAGAAGAAUUUUAAG